rnacentral:lncRNA from 1 species
CUGGAUGCAACCCUACAGCAGCAAGGAAAUUGGUGAGGCACAAUAUUAAUGAUUUUCUUUUUGAUUGCUCGUUGCUGGUGAUUUUAUCAAACGGUUCAUCGUCAAAUAUAUUAGAACCACAAAGCACGAACCUGGUACAGGGGCUGAAUCGUUGUCGCACCUAACAAAUAAAUGUAGGCAAACCUUGAAGCACUGCACGGGUAAACAUGCAUCAUUACAACAGUUGCAAAAGAAGACAUAGGCGGAUGAACAAAACUCUUCUGAAGACAUAAGCAGGAGAAGCAAGAAGAGGAGCAUUCGUCAAUUUUCUUUUUGAAAAGUACAACAUGAUUAUUAUUGCUGAUAGGAAUCAAUUAAAAUGAAGGCACA